GUCCAGGAGCGGGAAUCGAACCCACAACCUUCUGCUUACCGGGCAGGUGCCAUGUCGACUAGGCUAUCCAGGA
rnacentral:tRNA from 1 species